rnacentral:rRNA from 1 species
ACGAACGCUGGCGGCGUGCUUAAGACAUGCAAGUCGAGCGAGGGGAUUCUUUCAGCUUGCUGUGAGGGUCUCCUAGCGGCGGACGGGUGAGUAACGCGUGGGCAACCUACCCGCGAAUCGGGGACAACAGUGGGAAACCGCUGCUAAUACCGGAUGAGCUUUGCUUGCUGCAUGGCAGGCAAAGGAAAGGCAGCCUCUGCUUAGCAGCUGCUGUUCGCGGAUGGGCCCGCGUCCCAUUAGCUAGUUGGUGGAGGUAACGGCCCACCAAGGCGACGAUGGGUAGCCG